AAACAAGCAUGAAAUUGCCAAGUCCUCCUUGUUAGAACUUUGGAAAAAAAUGCUACCCGAUAUUAAGUCUCCUAAGCAGAAAAGAACAACUACUAAGCAUCCAGGUUAUUAAAGAAAAUGCUGAAUAAUGCCAGAUUGGGACAGACCCAUGCUGAACCGAAUUUGGCAUGGCAGAUGAGCGAAGCAGGUGGUUACCCCAGGAGCAGGGCGGCCGGUGAAGACCUGAUGAGGAGGACACCCUAUAACACUCUCUAUUACUGUUUAAAAAUGUUGAAAUUUCUUUCCCUUACAGUCAGUCUUG